UACGUAGGCAGCAAGCGUUGUUCGGAGUUACUGGGCGUAAAGGGUGCGUAGGCGGCCCUGUAAGUAUGGUGUGAAAUCUCCCGGCUUAACUGGGAGGGUGCGCUAUAGACUGCGGGGCUCGAGUGUGGGAGAGGAAAGUGGAAUUCCUGGUGUAGCGGUGAAAUGCGUAGAUAUCAGGAGGAACACCGGUGGUGUAAACGGCUUUCUGGACCAUAACUGACGCUGAGCUGCGAAAGCUAGGGGAGCAAACAGG
rnacentral:rRNA from 1 species